rnacentral:rRNA from 1 species
AUAAACGAGCGCAACCCCUACCCUUUAGUUGCCAUCACGGUUAAGCUGGGGACUCUAAAGGAACUGCCUACGCAAGUAGUGAGGAAGGCGGGGAUGACGUCAAAUCAGCACGGCCCUUACGGUCCAGGGCUACACACGUGCUACAAUGGCCGAUACAGAGGGCAGCUACCUGGUGACAGGAUGCAAAUCUCCAAAGUCGGUCUCAGUUCGGAUCGGAGUCUGCAACCCGACUCCGUGAAGUUGGAUUCGCUAGUAAUCGCGCAUCAGCCAUGGCGCGGUGAAUACGUUCCCGGGCCUU